rnacentral:rRNA from 1 species
UUGGAGGGCAAGUCUGGUGCCAGCAGCCGCGGUAAUUCCAGCUCCAAUAGCGUAUAUUAAAGUUGUUGCAGUUAAAAAGCUCGUAGUUGAAUUUCGGGAUCAAUGUUUCGGUCAUGCCGUUGGUAUGUACCGAUAUUAUUGAUUUCUCACCUUCUAAAGAACCGUAAUGCCAUUAAUUUGGUGUCACGGGGAAUUAGGACUGUUACCUUGAAAAAAUUAGAGUGUUUAAAGCAGGCUCACGCUUGAAUACAUUAGCAUGGAAUAAUGAAAUAGGACAUCCGAUUCUAUUUUGUUGGUUUCUAGGAUCGAUGUAAUGAUUAAUAGGGAUAGUUGGGGGCAUUAGUAUUCAAUUGUCAGAGGUGAGAUUCUAGGAUUUAUUGAAGACUAACUACUGCGAAAGCAUUUGCCAAGGAUGUUUUCAUUAAUCAAGAACGAAAGUUAGGGGAUCGAAGACGAUCAGAUACCGUCGUAGUCUUAACCAUAAACUAUGCCGACUAGGGAUCGGAUGAUGUUAAUUUUUAAUGACUCAUUCGGCGCCUUACGGGAAACCAAAGUGUUUGGGUUC